UGUGGCGGGGCGAGCGGUGGCCGCGGGAUGCGUUACGAGCGCAAUUCCGCGCGCCACACCCGCUCGGGUCCUUGCUGAUUCUGCAGUAACCUCGGACUGCUCGGUGUGGGCCGAACGCAUCCCUCCCCUGCGCGCCUAACCCUCCCUUCCCUGCGUGAACCCGACAAGGAGGUGCUGGCGCGGGGCAGGAUGCGUGGGGAGUCGAGCGUGGAAUUUCCGGUCUCCUCCGAGGAAUGCAUCGCUGGCUGCCCCCAGGAGGACUACGAGAUGCUUGGAUCUCCGCAUUCAGAUGGACACCGUCGACUUGAUUUGCAAGACCUCCCACCACCUGCUUGGCUGCUCUACCAGCUUCAGUAAGAAUCAAAUCCUACGAACCGAGUAAUUAGUAUCAGUAAUUUUGUUAGUUUUUUAGGUGGUUCAGUAUUCAGUUUUUUUUUGGAUUGCCUAGUGCCGGUGAUCUAAGCCUGAACCAAUUAGUUAGUUUAGUAGUUCUGUAUGCAUUUUUGAGUUCAGUAAUUUUAUUGUUGCAAGCAUAAUUAUUCUUUUGUUGCUUAGUUUAGGCUCAGUACUAUAUUAUUUUCAGUAUUUGUGUUAGCAUCUAGUAUCAAUAAUUUUCGAUCAUUACUGAACAUUUGAUGGUUUGAGUUAGUAUAGUAGUUAAGUAGUCCUUACUGAGUUAUUGGACCAGAUAAUGAAAUAUUAGACUACUAAACUGCAUGAGAUUGAAUAGAGCUCUGUAACAGAAACUACUAAAUCUAAAAAAUUGACCGAGCUCAGUGCAAUUUUUUAUAUUCAGUAAUUCAGCAUAGUUUGAAUAGCCUAAUUACUGAAUGAACUAUCUAAAGCCAGAUAAUGAUUUCGAUAGCUAAAUAAAACUAAAAACUAUGAUGUAAACUACUGAACGCAACCACAUAAGUUAGUAUAGUAGUUGUGUUAGUAUGUAGUAUCGGUAGUUUUUCGUUAGGCCAGUAGUACCAUUACUUUUUUUUUCUUUGGCUCAGUAAUAUUCCCAGCACCAUUAAUUUAUUAGGUUUAGUAGUUAGUCCUGUAUUUUUUUUCAAUACCUGAGCACUGAUCUGAACCAAGUAGGUACUCUAGUAGUUCAGUAGUCAUUACUGAACUAUCAGAUCAACGAAUGAAAUACUAGAUUAUCGAACUAUAUAAGAUUGAAUAGAGCUCAGCAAGUAAAACCACUGGAACUUAAAAAACUAUUGAGACUAUGCAAUUUUAUAUUCAGUAACUCAAAUUGACAUAACUUUUUUUGAACGGAAACUGUGGGAGGAGUUCCCCACAGCAAAUGCAUUAACAUAAUUUGAAUAGGCUAAUUACUGAACCAUCUAGAGUGGAUAUUGAUCUGGAUGGCUGAAUGUUGAAAUUUAAGAUAGUAGUUUUGUUUAGUAUCAUUAAUUUGUUAGGUUUAGCAGUUAGUCCAAUAUUUUUUACUACUGAGCAUCGACGAUCUGAACUGAGUAGUUAGUCUAGCAGUUCUAUUAGCAUUUUUAUUGAGUAAGCACAAUUGUUCUUUUUUUUUAUGUUGCUACUUUGAGCUCUAUACUAUAUUAUUUCAGUAGUAGUAUUAAGAACUUUACCCGCUGCGUUUUGAAAACUAGCCCGAGGGAAGCUUCAUUAUGCGGACAUGGCGCCACUUUCACAAGAGUGAAGGCUAAGUGAAGAGAGAAGAUGCAGACAUGUGACAUGUACAAUAUCUGUUAUCUGUAGAUCUUUUUUUGGGGCUGCAUGCUCAGAUUGUUAAUUGUGACUAUACAUGUUCAAUGCCAACUAUGCGUAUGCAGAUUCAGUAAUACAUCCAGUAAUUCCUUUGUA